rnacentral:lncRNA from 1 species
GGCCUUCUCUAGUGCAUGCUGUCACCAUGUGAUGCCCUCCAUCAUGUUAUGAUGCAGCAAGAAGACCCUCACCAGAUGCAGUCCCUUAAUCUUGGACUUCUAGCCUCCAGCACUGUGAGAAGCUGAGGCUCAGGAAGGCUAUGGGACUUGCCUGAAGCCACACAGCAGGAAGCAGAAUAGCUGAGAUCCACCUCCAAGUCUGCUGGACUCCAAAAUCUGUGCUUUCUCUCUGCUAGGCAAGAACCGUGGCUUCCUUCCUCUUAGGGGAAGGGCUGCAACACAGCCAGGCCGCUGACUGAAAUCUUCUCAUCCCAGGGGAUGCGGUGGCCACUCUCCCCAUCCUCUCCGUCCUGUGUGCGAUUCACCUGCCUAUGACUGGGGCAAGGCCUAGAUUUGUGGGAAAGGAUCCCGGCGCUGGGAUCAUGAUGAACGGCAACCUCCCUGCAGCAGCCCCCUCCCCCAACAACACACGCACAUCAGAGCUCGGGGGGGAGGCAGAGGGCCCUCCUUGCUCAAAAUAGCUCUGUGUUAUUAGCUGCAUUUAAUUGAAGGUGUUUCGAGGGCAGCCUCCACCGGGCCCAAACCAAAUGGAAAAUGACACACUGUCAAAUUAAUGUCCCCAGACCAUGAUAAAUGUCCGGGCUUGGUGAGUAAUGCUUCCAUUUCUUGUUUUAAAGGAGAAGGAUGCAGCCAGGCUCCGCGCGUCUGUCCCUGUUGUGCGGGGAAAGGUCAGGGGCAUCCUCGG